AGAAUACGAGACGCUAAGGCGUCGAAGUAGUGUAUGUCAUACUUCCAAGAAAAGCUUGCACUGUCAUAGAUAAAAAACGCCUGUACCAUAACCGACACAGGUGGGUAGGUAGAGUAUACUAAGGGGCGCGAGAUAACUCUCUCUAAGGAACUCGGCAAAAUAACUCCGUAACUUCGGGAGAAGGAGUGCCCUAUUCGUAAGGUUGCAAUAACAAGAUCCAAGCAACUGUUUAUCAAAAACACAGGUCUCCGCUAGGUCGUAAGACGAUGUAUGGGGGCUGACGCCUGCCCAGUGCCAGAAGGUUAAAGAAGUUGGUUAGCAAUUGCGAAGCUGAUAACUGAAGCCCUGGUGAACGGCGGCCGUAACAAUAACGGUCCUAAGGUAGCGAAAUUCCUUGUCGGGUAAGUUCCGACCCGCACGAAAGGCGUAAUGAUUUGGAUACUGUCUCGGAGAGGGGCUCGGUGAAAUAGACUUGUCUGUGAAGAUGCGGACUACCUGCACCAGGACAGAAAGACCCUAUGAAGCUUUACUGUAACUUGAAAUUGAAAUUGGACUUUAUUCGCGCAGUAUAGGUGGGAGGCGUUGAUUAUAAUCUUGUGGGAUUAUUGGAGCCAUCAGUGAGAUACCACUCUUGUAAUGUUAGAUUUCUAACUUUGAAUCAUUAUCUGGUCAAAGAACAGUUUCAGGCGGGCAGUUUGACUGGGGCGGUCGCCUCCUAAACGGUAACGGAGGCGUACAAAGGUUUCCUCUGAACGGUUAGAAAUCGUAUCUAGAGUGUAAAGGCAUAAGGAAGCUUGACUGUGAGACCUACAAGUCGAGCAGGGACGAAAGUCGGUCUUAGUGAUCUGACGGUACUGAGUGGAAAGGCCGUCACUCAACGGAUAAAAGUUACUCUAGGAUAACAGGCUGAUCUCCCCCAAGAGUUCACAUCGACGGGGAGGUUCGGCACCUCGAUGUCGGCUCAUCGCAUCCUGGGGCGGUAGUACGUCCCAAGGGUUGGGCUGUUCGCCCAUGAAAGCGGUACGCGAGCUGGGUUCAGAACGUCGUGAGACAGUUCGGUCCAUAUCCGGUGUAGGCGUUAGAAUAUUGAGAGGAGCCUUCUUUAGUACGAGAGGACCGAGAAGGACAUACCUCUGGUGUACCAGUUAUCGUGCCAACGGUAAACGCUGGGUAGCUAUGUAUGGAGUGGAUAACCGCUGAAAGCAUCUAAGUGGGAAGCCCACCUCAAGAUAAGUAUUCUCAUC
rnacentral:rRNA from 1 species